rnacentral:tRNA from 1 species
GGGCGCGAUGUGCAAAUUUCGUGCACCUGAUUCGAUUUUCGGGCCACAAAUCGCAGAAAACUCACGUUUUUUAUAGAAAGCAAACUACCUUGCAUGGUAGGGGUUACAGGUUCCAUCCCUGUUGCGCCCACCA